rnacentral:rRNA from 1 species
CUAACGCAUUAAGUAUUCCGCCUGGGGAGUACGGUCGCAAGAUUAAAACUCAAAGGAAUUGACGGGGACCCGCACAAGUAGCGGAGCAUGUGGUUUAAUUCGAAGCAACGCGAAGAACCUUACCUACACUUGACAUCCCUUGCAUUACUCUUAAUCGAGGAAAUCCCUUCGGGGACAAGGUGACAGGUGGUGCAUGGUUGUCGUCAGCUCGUGUCGUGAGAUGUUGGGUUAAGUCCCGCAACGAGCGCAACCCUUGUCGUUAGUUACUACCAUUAAGUUGAGGACUCUAGCGAGACUGCCUGGGUUAACCAGGAGGAAGGUGGGGAUGACGUCAAAUCAUCAUGCCCCUUAUGUGUAGGGCUACACACGUGCUACAAUGGCUGGUACAGAGAGAUGCAAUA